GAUGAACGCUGGCGGCGUGCCUAAUACAUGCAAGUCGAGCGAACAGACGAGGAGCUUGCUCCUCUGACGUUAGCGGCGGACGGGUGAGUAACACGUGGAUAACCUACCUAUAAGACUGGGAUAACUUCGGGAAACCGGAGCUAAUACCGGAUAAUAUAUUGAACCGCAUGGUUCAAUAGUGAAAGACGGUUUUGCUGUCACUUAUAGAUGGAUCCGCGCCGCAUUAGCUAGUUGGUAAGGUAACGGCUUACCAAGGCAACGAUGCGUAGCCGACCUGAGAGGGUGAUCGGCCACACUGGAACUGAGACAGGGUCAAGACUCCUACGGGAGGCAGCAGUAGGGAAUCUUACGCAAUGGGCGAAAGCCUGACGGAGCAACGCCGCGUGAGUGAUGAAGGUCUUCGGAUCGGAAAACUCUGUUAUUAGGGAAGAACAAAUGUGUAAGUAACUAUGCACGUAUUGACGGUACCUAAUCAGAAAGCCACGGCUAACUACGUG
rnacentral:rRNA from 1 species